CUCAUAUCAUCAUUUCAUCUCAUCCUUUCAUUUCAUCUCAUCGUUUCAUCUCCUCAUUUCAUCUCAUCUCACCUCAGCAUUUCAUUUCACCUCAUCAUUUCUUAUUUCAUCUCAUUUUAUCUCAUUUCAUCUCAUAUCUCAAUUCAAUUUCCUUUCAUUAUUUCAUCUCAUUCAUUUCAUCUCCUUUCAUUACAUCUCAUCAUUUCCUCUCAUCAUUACACCUCAUCUCAUCUCAUCAUUUCAUCAUUUCAUCUCAUCAUUGCAUCUCAUCAUUUCAUCUCAUUUCAUCUCAUCAUUCAUCUCGUCACUUCAUCUCAUCAUUUCCAUUUCAUUAUUUCAUUUCAUCAUUUAAUUUCAUCAUCUCAUUUCCUCUCAUCAUUACAUCUCAUCUCAUCUCAUCAUUUCAUCAUUUCAUCUCAUCAUUGCAUCUCAUCAUUUCAUCUCAUUUCAUCUCAUCAU
rnacentral:lncRNA from 1 species